rnacentral:rRNA from 1 species
AGAUGCCUACGGGAGGCAGCAGUGAGGAAUAUUGGUCAAUGGGCGCGAGCCUGAACCAGCCACGUAGCGUGAAGGAUGACUGCGCUACGGGUUGCAAUCUUCUUUUAUAAAGGAAUAAAGUGAGGCACGUGUGCCUUUUUGUAUGUAUUUUAUGAAUAAGGAUCGGCUAACUCCGUGCCAGCAGCCGCGGUAAUACGGAGGAUCCGAGCGUUAUCCGGAUUUAUUGGGUUUAAAGGGAGCGUAGAUGGGUUGUUAAGUCAGUUGUGAAAGUUUGCGGCUCAACCGUAAAAUUGCAAUUGAUACUG